rnacentral:rRNA from 1 species
UCCGUAGGUGAACCUGCGGAAGGAUCAUUACAGAAAUAGGAGAAGGUUGCUUAACUGCAAUCCUUUUCUUUCUACACAUGCGUUUUUCUUUUUUUUGAAAACUUUGCUUUGGUGGGCCCACGGCCUGCCAGAGAUUAAACUCAACCAAAUUUUUAUUUAAUUGUCAACUUGAUUAACUAAUAGUCAAAACUUUCAACAACGGAUCUCUUGGUUCUCGCAUCGAUGAAGAACGCAGCGAAAUGCGAUAAGUAAUAUGAAUUGCAGAUAUUCGUGAAUCAUCGAAUCUUUGAACGUACAUUGCGCCCUUUGGUAUUCCAAAGGGCAUGCCUGUUUGAGCGUCAUUUCUCCCUCAAACCUUCGGGUUUGGUGCUGAGCGAUACGCUGGGUUUGCUUGAAAGAAAGGCGGAGUAUAAACUAAUGGAUAGGUUUUUUUUCCACUCAUUGGUACAAACUCCAAACAUUCUUCCAAAUUCGACCUCAAAUCAGGUAGGACUACCCGCUGAACUUAAGCAUAUCAAUAAGCGGAGGA